AUUGAACGCUGGCGGCAUGCCUUACACAUGCAAGUCGAACGGCAGCGGGCCCUUCGGGGUGCCGGCGAGUGGCGAACGGGUGAGUAAUGCAUCGGAACGUACCCGGGAGAGGGGGAUAACCGGCCGAAAGGCUGGCUAAUACCGCAUGAACUCGGAAGAGCAAAGCGGGGGACCUUGGGGCCUCGCGCCCUCGGAGCGGCCGAUGUCCGAUUAGGCUAGUUGGUGGGGUAAAGGCCCACCAAGGCGACGAUCGGUAGCGGGUCUGAGAGGACGAUCCGCCACACUGGGACUGAGACACGGCCCAGACUCCUACGGGAGGCAGCAGUGGGGAAUCUUGGACAAUGGGCGCAAGCCUGAUCCAGCAAUGCCGCGUGGGUGAAGAAGGCCUUCGGGUUGUAAAGCCCUUUCGGCGGGGAAGAAAUCGGUCAGGCGAAUAGUCUGGCCGGAUGACGGUACCCGCAGAAGAAGCACCGGCUAACUACGUG
rnacentral:rRNA from 1 species